rnacentral:rRNA from 1 species
UACAUGGGGUGCAAACGUUGUUCGGAAUCAUUGGGCGUAAAGCGCGCGUAGGCGGUUGCUUAAGUCGGAUGUGAAAGCCCUCGGCUUAACUGAGGAAGUGCAUCCGAAACUGAGCAGCUAGAGUACGAAAGAGGGUCGCGGAAUUCCCGGUGUAGAGGUGAAAUUCGCAGAUAUCGGGAGGAACACCAGUGGCGAAGGCGGAGACCUGGGCCGAUACUGACGCUGAGGUGCGAAAGCGUGGGGAGCAAACAGG